rnacentral:lncRNA from 10 species
CGUAGUAUGACAGGGACUUUGUGACAGACACCCCUUACAGGUUCCAGGAGGGUCUGUGGCCCAUCCUGCAAAUGCAAUUUUCAAGAAUCUCUUCCCCUCAUCUAGCAUUUAUUUGCAGAGUUCAGCCCAGGGGAGAAUCUCCUUCCCUGAAAAGGCAAGUGUAACUUACAAGACUUAGGUGCCCUUGAAUCCAAGAUUGCGGGUUUCUACUAAAGAAGAUGCUUAACCAGCUCGUUCCUGCUUCCUGACCUUUGCUUCCAAGAGUUAAAAGAGGACAUAGGUUUUGUUGUUGUUGCUGUUAGAAGUUUUCAAGGACAAAAAAAAAAAAUGCCUUUUUGGUUGAGAGUACAGCUAUCGUGGGCUGCUCCUGCGGUGGAAGAAAAAGACAUCUCCUUUUAUGACUUUGAUUCCACAAACUUUCCUGAACUCUACAUUUGAAAUAGCAUAUUUCAAGGCAGGUCCUCAACUCAGUUCCUGAAAACCUGACGAAUUCCUACUCAUCUUCAAAGUCCAACUCAGAAAUGUAAUGUAUUUCCUGGCAACCACUGACUUUGCGUGUCAUCUAUCUAUCUUGCACCUACCUCUAUUUUAACCCCCUGACACUAUACUGUGUUCAUGUGUUUAUGUGUUGGUCUCCCCCACUUGCAUAUGAGUUCCCCAAAGGCAGAAACAGUCAUGUUGGUCUUGUAUUUCACAACUGAGACAAUGUCUGUCAUAUACGAGGUGCUCAAUCAAUGUCUGGGAAAUACAUUGAAUCGAAAUGAAUUAAAUAGGGAAAGCUAUUUUUAAAUGUUCUCAAGCCAUAAAGGAUAGCCACCUUGUUUAUUUCAAUUUAACAACUAUUCAACGAAAUCCAGAAAAUGAUGAGACUGCCGAGAAAC